CCUACGGGUGGCUGCAGUGGGGAAUAUUGGACAAUGGGCGAAAGCCUGAUCCAGCCAUGCCGCGUGUGUGAAGAAGGCCUUCGGGUUGUAAAGCACUUUCAGUGGGGAAGAAAGCCUUGGGGCUAAUACCCUCGAGGAAGGACAUCACCCACAGAAGAAGCACCGGCUAACUCCGUGCCAGCAGCCGCGGUGAUACGGAGGGUGCGAGCGUUAAUCGGAAUUACUGGGCGUAAAGCGCGCGUAGGCGGUCUGAUAAGCCGGUUGUGAAAGCCCCGGGCUCAACCUGGGAACGGCAUCCGGAACUGUCAGGCUAGAGUGCAGGAGAGGAAGGUAGAAUUCCCGGUGUAGCGGUGAAAUGCGUAGAGAUCGGGAGGAAUACCAGUGGCGAAGGCGGCCUUCUGGACUGACACUGACGCUGAGGUGCGAAAGCGUGGGUAGCAAACAGGAUUAGAUCCCCGGUAGUC
rnacentral:rRNA from 1 species